rnacentral:rRNA from 1 species
GGAUUGCAGUCUGCAACUCGACUGCAUGAAGCUGGAAUCGCUAGUAAUCGCGAAUCAGAAUGUCGCGGUGAAUACGUUCCCGGGUCUUGUACACACCGCCCGUCACACCAUGGGAGUUGGAAGCGCCCGAAGUCUGUGACCUAACCGUGAGGGAGGAGCAGCCGAAGGUGAAGCCAGUGACUGGGGUGAAGUCGUAACAAGGUACC